rnacentral:lncRNA from 1 species
GUGUGCAUGAUAUAUUUCGGACUUUCUAUCGUUUUUCGAAAUUUCAUAGUAUCAGAAGAGUAAUUUUUCUGUAUUUGCAUACUGAAAAAUCGGUGACCCUUAAUCUACGAAACAAUGUCUUUCAAUAAAGAAUUUUAUAGCGACUAAAUAAGUAUAAAAACCUUGUGCAAGGAAGGUUACUGAUCUGAUUAAACUAAAACCUGGAAAGUACCAAGACCUGCAGCAUCUGAAGCAGUUUUGCAGUCCAUCUGCUCAAAAGUUACAAGAUCCACUGAAGAAUCACAGAAAGAUAGUGGACUUUCAUCGUUUUUAUGAAGUUUUUUAUGACUACCAUCACUUUUAC